CUCUCGCCCGGAAACCGAGGCACGCUCGCGGAUCCCUUAGGGUGAGCGUCGCGAUGUGCCUGGGACCGACACAGUCAUGGCGCCGGGUCCCGCCCGACGUUGGCCUCUGGCUCUCGGCGCCGGAGAGCAGGGUUGUCAGCUGAGAAUUCCAGGCGGACCCAGGGCAGGGGUGAGGGACUCGCGGCCCGGUGCCCGGCCCGCCGGUCUGUUGUCCCGUCACCUGAGGUGUCCAGGGUAGAAAAGCGAAAACUAGACUCUUCCCCAGACCCCUCCCGAAAGCGCCACGCUGCCUCCCACACCGCUGCCUCCCACACCUCUUCCUAGCCGCUUUGCGCAUGGCGGGCGGUGAGACGUUCAGUGACGCGCCUCAGUUGGGAAAUUGAACUGGCAAAGGAACAGUUCUUGAAGACUUGAACGUCUUGGCAGCCUUUGGUGUUAUUUUAGGGGACAUGCUCCCGGGGGAAGAAAAUUCACGGCUCAUCUUUGAGUGGGAAGGAGCGUUGCUUAAGCUUCGUUGGAGCAUCGUGGGAAACGAACUGGAAUUCAGAUUUUAACGGAGGAGAAUUACUAGCCCUUUUCAUCUAUUCAGUAGAAAGUGAAUUGAAAGGCUCCCUUGCCGCAUCCUCAUGGAAACCCAAGCUUGUUAAUUGCAUCAAUUAUAUUAGAUGUUGAAGAGCUGAGUCAAAGAGACAUCACAGACGUUUUUAAUAUUUGCUCUUCUAUUCUUUUCCAAAGGUGUACCAAACGGUGAUGGAAUGUUCAACCCCUGUGACGUUUUUAAUAUUUGCUCUUCUAUUCCUUUCCAAAGGUGUACCAAAUGGUGAUGGAAUGUUCAACCCAAAAGAUUCUGCUAGCUCUAAGCCAGGUGUAGAGAUGUAACCCUUUAGUGUCAGGAAGAUACAGGCUGUUACAUUUCAACAUGGUCCACAUAGACAACUGCAGAGGUAUCUGGGUUGGCUGUUUUGUGGCAGGAUGUUUCGAAGCUUGCCAGAACUCCAGGGUUAGAUUCCUGGCAUAACACAGAAGAAACUGUUUCGAAGGCACAGUUGUAAAAUGGGGAUAAUACAUCAUUUAAAGCUCCGGUGCUGGGCAGUUGCACUGCCACUCGUCUUCUCACUUUAAUGAUCACGAAUUACUUUGUUCUCAGUAAGAGGAAGCAGCCCAGCCUUGGAUUUUACUUUGUGAUCCAAUCCACCAGUCUCGUUGCUUUAAUGGAUGACAUAAGCCCAUAUACAGGUUUGGACAAGAGGCUGUCAUCUGUGAGAGAACACAGUACGAAUUUGAUGCCCUGUCAAGACAAUCAGAA